CGAGUGGCGAACGGGUGAGUAAUAUAUCGGAACGUACCAUUCAGUGGGGGAUAACGUAGCGAAAGUUACGCUAAUACCGCAUACACUGUGAGCAGGAAAGCAGGGGAUCGCAAGACCUUGCGCUGAUUGAGCGGCCGAUAUCAGAUUAGCUUGUUGGUGAGGUAAAAGCUCACCAAGGCGACGAUCUGUAGCGGGUCUGAGAGGAUGAUCCGCCACACUGGAACUGAGACACGGUCCAGACUCCUACGGGAGGCAGCAGUGGGGAAUUUUGGACAAUGGGGGCAACCCUGAUCCAGCCAUGCCGCGUGAGUGAAGAAGGCCUUCGGGUUGUAAAGCUCUUUCAGCCGGGAAGAAAACGCAUGGGUUAAUACCCUGUGUGGAUGACGGUACCGGAAUAAGAAGCACCGGCUAACUACGUGCCAGCAGCCGCGGUAAUACGUAGGGUGCGAGCGUUAAUCGGAAUUACUGGGCGUAAAGCGUGCGCAGGCGGUUUUGUAAGACAGGCGUGAAAUCCCCGGGCUUAACCUGGGAACUGCGUUUGUGACUGCAAGGCUAGAGUACGGCAGAGGGGGGUGGAAUUCCACGUGUAGCAGUGAAAUGCGUAGAGAUGUGGAGGAACACCAAUGGCGAAGGCAGCCCCCUGGGUCGAUACUGACGCUCAUGCACGAAAGCGUGGGUAGCAAACAGGAUUAGAUACCCUGGUAGUCCACGCCCUAAACGAUGUCAACUAGGUGUUGGGAGGGUAAAACCUUUUAGUACCGGAGCUAACGCGUGAAGUUGACCGCCUGGGGAGUACGGCCGCAAGGUUAAAACUCAAAGGAAUUGACGGGGACCCGCACAAGCGGUGGAUGAUGUGGAUUAAUUCGAUGCAACGCGAAAAACCUUACCUACCCUUGACAUGCCAAGAACUUUCCAGAGAUGGAUUGGUGCCCGAAAGGGAACUUGGACACAGGUGCUGCAUGGCUGUCGUCAGCUCGUGUCGUGAGAUGUUGGGUUAAGUCCCGCAACGAGCGCAACCCUUGUCGUUAAUUGCCAUCAUUUAGUUGGGCACUUUAACGAGACUGCCGGUGACAAACCGGAGGAAGGUGGGGAUGACGUCAAGUCCUCAUGGCCCUUAUGGGUAGGGCUUCACACGUCAUACAAUGGUCGGUACAAAGGGUCGCCAAGCCGCGAGGUGGAGCCAAUCCCAGAAAGCCGAUCGUAGUCCGGAUCGCAGUCUGCAACUCGACUGCGUGAAGUCGGAAUCGCUAGUAAUCGUGGAUCAGAAUGUCACGGUGAAUACGUUCCCGGGUCUUGUACACACCGCCCGUCACACCAUGGGAGCGGGUUCCGCCAGAAGUAGGUA
rnacentral:rRNA from 1 species